GGGGUCUAGGAGCUGCUGCCACUCUCAGGGUUCCUGUGCCUUUAGAACAAUUGGUGGCAGUUGGUCGGCAGUUGGUGGUGCUGGUGGUGAUAAAGAAGCUUAGCCUUCCUCUCCAUGAUGAUUUCUCCCACUGGUGAUGGCUAUGGGGGCUGGGCUAGAAGCAUCUGAUGACACCCUACUGCCUCCAAGCUUCAGGGAAUUCCCAGUCUGAUGAGCAGGAGUGACAAGAAGAGGUGUCAAGGAUGAGGGAGAUACCAGCUUGGACCUCAAGGACUUUAGAAACUGGAAUGCUUGAAGGAAGGAGAAGGCACAAGAGAACCCUCUAUUACUGCAAAACAUGUGAAGAAAAGGUCAUAAGUUUGGGGAUCCUUCUCCUGAGAGCUGGAAGAGUCCUUAGAAAUCUCCUAAUCCAGUUCCCCCUCAUUCAAUGAGUGAGCUGCUGAGGCCUAAAGAAAUAAAAGUGGUGAUGUGCCUCCACCCCAGGAACAGCCUCAGAAGGUAAAUAAACAUUAUCACAUCCUUGUUCUAUGGUAAAGCCUCCAAAUGUUACAUACUGUACCAAUUGUGAUUCUCAUCUGAAUUAAAUAGGAACACAAAAACAGAAAAUGAUUGUGUGUGAAUAAACAUCCGAAAGACUACCAACAGCUGAUCUGGGCUGAGGCGUCAAAACAAAGCUAUUAUUGUAGAAGACGGACAACUCCAGAACAAAAUCUGAAAAAAGGGGGCACAGAGCGUGCUGUAGCACAUGCUAAGUCAUUCUACCAAACCAAAGCAACUUUGGGGUGCAAUUUAAACUGGGCAAGUCUAUUCAGCUGAAGUAGUUAAAACCUGGAUAGAAAGAAGUCACUGCCAUAACAGCACUGUGCAGUUUUAUUAACCAUUCAAGUACAGUAGUAUCUGGAAAGACCGGGACAAAGGUCAGGUUUCAAAAGUGAACAGACAGAUAUAUUCAGCAUCUAACAGUUGGAAAGAAGCAUACUACAGAUUCCUUUCACAAACAUGUUUUCACAGAGCCAAUACAGUACUAGCCAUUAACCCAGCACCGAGCAUACUGGAAUAGAAAAGA